UUUUCAGAGAUGAGAAUGUGCCUUCGGGAACCGUGAGACAGGUGCUGCAUGGCUGUCGUCAGCUCGUGUUGUGAAAUGUUGGGUUAAGUCCCGCAACGAGCGCAACCCUUAUCCUUUGUUGCCAGCGGUCCGGCCGGGAACUCAAAGGAGACUGCCAGUGAUAAACUGGAGGAAGGUGGGGAUGACGUCAAGUCAUCAUGGCCCUUACGACCAGGGCUACACACGUGCUACAAUGGCGCAUACAAAGAGAAGCGACCUCGCGAGAGCAAGCGGACCUCAUAAAGUGCGUCGUAGUCCGGAUUGGAGUCUGCAACUCGACUCCAUGAAGUCGGAAUCGCUAGUAAUCGUGGAUCAGAAUGCCACGGUGAAUACGUUCCCGGGCCUUGUACACACCGCCCGUCACACCAUGGGAGUGGGUUGCAAAAGAAGUAGGUAGCUUAACCUUCGGGAGGGCGCUUACCACUUUGUGAUUCAUGACUGGGGUGAAGUCGUAACAAGGUAACCGUAGGGGAACCUGCGGUUGGAUCACCUCCUUACCUUAAAGAAGC
rnacentral:rRNA from 2 species